rnacentral:rRNA from 1 species
CUGCCGGCGACCGGCGCACGGGUGAGUAACACGUAUGGAACCUGCCCGCAGCGGGGGGAUAAGCGGAAGAAAUUCCGUCUAAUACCGCGUAACAACGUUGGGAGGCAUCUCCCGAUGUUUAAAGAUUUAUCGGCUGCGGAUGGCCAUGCGGCGCAUUAGCUAGUCGGCGGGGUAACGGCCCACCGAGGCGACGAUGCGUAGGGGUUCUGAGAGGAAGGUCCCCCACACUGGUACUGAGACACGGACCAGACUCCUACGGGAGGCAGCAG